GGAAUGAUGGUGACCCAAACCCUCACCAGAGUAGCAAUUGGAGGGCAAGUCUGGUGCCAGCAGCCGCGGUAAUUCCAGCUCCAAUAGCGUAUAUUAAACUUGUUGCAGUUAAAAAGCUYGUAGUUGUAUUUUUGCGUUAGCGGUUUGACCAUUUGGUUGGUUAUUUCGUUUUCGCUUUUGGGAAUUUCCCUUUUUACUUUGAGAAAAUUAGAGUGUUUCAAGCAGACUUUUGUCUUGAAUACUUCAGCAUGGAAUAAUAGAGUAGGACUUUGGUUCUAUUUUGUUGGUUAUUGAACCUUAGUAAUGGUUAAUAGGAACGGUUGGGGGCAUUCGUAUUUAACUGUCAGAGGUGAAAUUCUUAGAUUUGUUAAAGACGAACUACUGCGAAAGCAUUUGCCAAGGACGUUUCCAUUAAUCAAGAACGAAAGUUAGGGGAUCGAAGACGAUCAGAUACCGUCGUAGUCCUAACCAUAAACUAUGCCGACUAGU
rnacentral:rRNA from 1 species